UCAGAUCCGCCGGCCGGAGCAAAGUUAAACUGGGUUUAUUUAUUUAUUUGACUUCUUCCUGUGAAGGGGGAAAAAAAUCCAGUAAAAUUCGUUUUCCGGGCAAAAUCAGCGUCGUCUGCCUGGCCGGGGGGCGGUGGGUGCUGCGGCCGUGCUCGGGCCGUGCUGCGGGCGGUGCGAGGCGGCAGGAACAGGGAUUGCUGCUUGGUCAGAGGUCGGGGCCCGUGUGAUCCAUUUCUGCCACUGCUUCAGUGGGUCCAGAAGAGCUGGAGAAGACACCGGCAAAAUCAAAUGAUUGGACUUGUCCUUUCUCUCUCACAGGGUUUCACCCUAUGUCACACCAAGAUUUAAAAAAUCAGCUCUCAUGGCUUUGCUCAAGAGAUUCAGGAAUGGUUCCUGGACAAGCAGCACAGGCCUCUGCAGAGCCGAAGCGGCACCAGCACCAUCAGUACCCUGCCUGUUUCUCCAGACCUGACCUACAACUAUAAAUGCUGUAUUGGCGAUUUCUUUGUCCUUAGGGGCAAAAAAUACAUUUUCCAGUGAAAAAAAAUCCUCUGGGAAUAUCUCUAACUGUUCCCACUGGAGCGUGCAGCAUCAC